rnacentral:rRNA from 1 species
GUGCCAGCAGCCGCGGUAAUACGGAGGGUGCGAGCGUUGUUCGGAAUUAUUGGGCGUAAAGGGCGCGCAGGCGGUUUGUUAAGUCUGAUGUGAAAGCCCCGGGCCCAACCCGGGAAGUGCAUUGGAUACUGGCAGACUUGAGUACGGGAGAGGAGAGCGGAAUUCCUGGUGUAGGGGUGAAAUCCGCAGAUAUCAGGAAGAACACCGGCGGCGAAGGCGGCUCUCUGGACCGAUACUGACGCUGAGGCGCGAAAGCAUGGGGAGCAAACAGGAUUAGAAACCCGCGUAGUCC